GGGAAAAGCAGCGGCCGUGAGGGCGGGCCUGGAGCUGCGGUCCUCGCUCCGCACGGCAGGCCCCCGACACUGCUGCUGAACCAUGAGCUCUCACCAAGUGGGUGCUUCCACUGGGUGUCACCCGCGUGCUCUAACAGUGCACCCGGCACUCGGACAAAGGGGGACACGCCACACCUCAAUGUCUUCUCUGCACAGGAAACGGAAUGCAACAGCCCUUCUAUUUUGAAUUGAUCUGGCCACAUACCGUGGGGCAGGUGACUGUCACUGCAGGUGGGAAUGACCACCAACCUCAGAGGCCAUGGGUGAGGACGACGUGGCUCCCAGCAGGCCUGUGGAGGGUGAGUGCGCCUGCUGUGGGGCCUCCCGAUGAGCCGGGGGUGGGUCUCGGUCUGGCCCUGACAGGGAGCCCACGGGGGGCUGGGGUGGGGCCGGCCCAGAAGGACACAGGGCCCCCCCACACGUGGGAGCUGGCUGCAGAAAGCCGCCCUACAGGAAGAUCUGCCCCUCAGGACCUGACUUGCUGGCUCUGGAGAAGCUCCAGGAGUCAACCACCGUCUAUAAAUACCCCCGAGGCUGCGUCCAGGAGCCUGUGGCCCAGCCAGGAAGCCGCUCCCACAGGCAGAAGAGCUGUUCGGGUUCAGAGGUGCCAGCCCUCCAGCCACGUGGCACCAGCCUAAGUCAUGUAACAAUCUAGUCCGCCCAGGAAGCUGCAGCCACAGAACACGGCCGCCCAGCAGGACCCCCACCUCCAGCCCGCCCCGCCCCCGCCCCGAGGCUGCAGGGGGAGGAGAAGGGCAGCUCUGGCGCCAAGUGUCACGCCCACCGGGCCCCUGAGCACUGUCUGGGACAGGCUGGCUUCCGUGUCACUGCCGAGGGGCCUGCAGGAGGCGCUGGGAGCCCCGCACGGCUCUGCAUCAUGGAGGUUGGUUCAGAGCGCAUGGGGCACUCCGGCGGACAGCAGACACAGACACCCACAGCCCCGUGACCACGGGCCACU